CACGGGGGGAGCAAGGCGUUGUUCGGAAUCACUGGGCGUAAAGGGCGUGUAGGCGGUCAGGUAAGUGAGAUGUGAAAUGCCCCGGCUCACCCGGGGACCGGCAUCUCAUACUGCUUGGCUUGAGUACGGGAGAGGAUGUGGGAAUUCCUGGUGUAGCGGUGGAAAUGCGUAGAUAUCAGGAGGAACACCGGUGGCGAAGGCGCACAUCUGGCCCGAUACUGACGCUGAGGCGCGAAAGCUAGGGGAGCAAACGGG
rnacentral:rRNA from 1 species